AAAUUGAUUUCUAUCUCAAUUGUACUGUAGCAAGAGAAUAUGGUAUGCACGAUACCCAAUUCUUGAAAAUAUUUUUAGAGUUGUUUGUGGACUGGUACAUAUCUAUUUUUUUGUAAAUAGUGCAUGUGUUCUAGAGAACAACAUUUAUAUGUUCUAUCUAACUUGUGUAAUGUGUUAACAUGUUUAUAUCCUUUUCCUUCUUGGCCCUUCCUUUGAUUAAGAGUGUGGUCCCUGGGAUACUCUGGUUAAUGUAGGGUUCUUAGCUUCUCCUUUCCUGCAUUGCUUGGAUGCCAAGCUCAGUCUCCUAUGCUCUUAGGAGUGGAUGUUCAUUUCCAAAAUUCUAGAUUCUUGGAAUCGACAUUUUCCCAAGGCAACUCAACUUUGGUGUUUGCUUGGAUGUGUGAUGUGAUGUUUAUAAAACCUUUUUUUUUUGCCCUUGAGGAUUUUACUUAUUUUCUUGUGAGCCCAGGAAUGCAUUUACUUUCAUUGUAAUUCUUCCAUCAUUUGACUAUUUUGUGGUAGAAGGCUAUUUCAGAGUAUUUUGGGGCACCAUAUUGCCAGAAGCAGAAUUCUCUAGGUAUUCUUUACUGAGAAAAUAGGUAGAACUCAUCCCUUUUGUCCCUUCUCACUUUUCUAUUUAUUAGGUCUGGAGUAAGACAUAGUCCUCAGAAAUACCCAGUGGUCUGCCAUCUUCUUGAUGAGGAGGAGUUAUAGCUCUUCACCCUGGGGAGAAGCAAGAAGGUUCAUGUUCUUUUCUCUCCAAGUUCUAUUUUUAAUGUGUGAUGAUUUUCUCUUCCAUGGCAGUUUGAAGUCUUGGUCUGAGAUUUCCUAUCAGUUUGGUAACACCAUUUGCCCCUUGCUUAUUCAUGCAGGGAUGUUUUAAGGAGGAAUUUCAAAGAAAAGGACAUCAUGGUGGUAAUGCUGGCACACUUAGAGGGAAGCAGAGGGAAAGAGCAGGAAAGAGACAAAAGAAUGGGGAAAAUAAGACUAAAAUUAAGUCUUGGCUUACAUAUAAGUUGCCUGGUGGAAGUGAGAGCCUAUUGACAUAAUUAUAUGUUCUGGGACCCUAGAUAUUCAUAAAGGGCCUCUUUCCUAAUUCAUUACUAGUGACAUAAACAGGUAAAAUAACAAAGGAUUAAAAAAUAUAACAAAGGAUUCCUUCCCUUCUGGGUUUAUGCUCUGUUUUAGGGGAAAUUAGGAUUUGAAAACCUAAGCACUUCCAUUAAGUGCUUACAAUUUAGUUUGCUGGACAAGCUAUAAAGAACAACAAGAAAAAUACACAGCAGUAUAUGAUCCCUGCUGGUAUACAGUAUUAAGGUAGUAUCAAGAUUGGGGCACCUGGGUGGCUCAGUUGGUUAACUGUCUGACUUUGGCUCAGGUCUUAGGAUUGAGGCCCACAUUGGGCUCCCUGCUCAGUGAGGAGUCAGCUUCUCCCUCUCCCUCUGCCUCUCCCCUGCUCGUGCUCUCUCUUUCUCCCUUUCUCUCUUAAAUAAAUAAAUAAAUAAAAUCUUUAAAAAAAUAGUAUCAGGGUUCAUUUGGGGCAAGUUCACUGCAUUCCAGAGGAGUCAGAGAAAUCUUCCUAGAGAAGUAAAGACAGGAAUUGGCCUUGAUUUAGAGGGGCAAGAGAAAGAUAGCAACCAACUCUCUGCAUAAAGGAAAUGUUCAUCUGUCUCCCUCACUCCUGAUGUAGGCCUGCUUGUGGAGCAGAGUGCCCACAUGACUUAGAAUAAGCUCAGUAUUGCUGACUUAAGAGAGCAACAACUUUCUCAUUUUACAAAUGAGAAAACUGAGAUUCAUGGUAUAAGCUCACAGACCCCCCUGGGCUUCUGACCCUCAAUCUAUUAGUCUUCUUCCACAUACUGUUUGUAAAACCUCCUAUAAUUAUACUACUAGCUCUUGGUUUGUCAGUAGUUACUUUAGACCAUAAUUGGAGUAUGACUAAUGCAUGGAAAUGCAUAAGCAUUGCAUGGACAGUAAUCACGUAAGAAACAGUUAUUGAUUUUACUUUUUUCUGUAACUUGGAGCUGUCUAAUUCCCUGAAAUACCUGUGAUAAAUAAUUAGUUGGUAUUUGCAAAUGCUUAACUCUCUCUAGAGUAAGGUGCUAUAUUAAUAUAAAGAAAAAGAUCCUUACUGUCAAGCUCAGUACCUCUGGGCCUGGAGGUGUCAACUAGCUGAAAAAAAAUCCCUAGAACAAAAGUUGAUUUGAUGAUCUAUUACCAGAAGAGUCAAGUUCCUCAGUAGGUGGAGUGGGCAGUGUCCUUGUCAGAGGAACUUACAGGACGUGCCAUACCCUCCAUCUGAAGGCUCCUUGCCAGCUGGGAAUCUUCCCUGAAGCUGAAACUCGGCCAGACUUUCUUCCCCUUGUCUCUGCAAAGUUUUUUCCUUUAGCCACAAACAAUAAGAAAAUGUGGACAAAGACGGGAAUAAAGAUACUACAGUCUCACCACAUAGCUUAAUUCUUCUGGAUGCCUUUUCUAUGUCCUGUGAUGGAGUGCAUAGAAGUGUGGGCCUGGAGUCAGAAUUGAGCUCUGCCUCUGCCACUAAUUACAUAUUUCAUCUCAGGAGGUGUGUGAGGAGGAGAAAGCAGGAAAAAUCAAACUUCAAAUAAUGUACCAGUUGAAGAAGCACUUUAAUCCUCACGAUGGUCUGAUGCUGAAUCCACUCCUCCAUGCCUUCGUUUUUAAUUCUCAAAUUUACUGCAUUCCAGCAAAUCUCCAUCAUUUUACAUGGAUUAGGCACUAAUUCAGAUAUUUCUAGGGCCCACUGUGAGCCAGGCCCACAGUGAAUGGGACACAGCAAUGAAAGGACACUCGAAGUCACCUCCGUCAUGAAGCUUGUGUUCCAGUGGGAUGGCAUGUUUGGGGGCCAGUGAGUAACCCAUCCCGUUUGGCAGAAUGGACAAGUAGAAGGAAGGCUUGCGCGGUGAGUAGGGACCGGCUAGUUGAGAACCCUGAUCGCAGGUGAGGAGCUUUAUUUCAAGAAGAGGCCAUGCGUCUCUAGGUGAAGCCACGAGCGCCCUGGGAGUGGGAUGACACCGGGCUGUGUCUUCCUGACGCACCUGUGCUUUCUUUCUCCCUUAUGCUCCGCGGUGCGAUGACAGAGAAGCACUGGCUGGGCUGAAAGAUCCUCCUCCUCAUGCUUGGUGCUUGGCCCACAGGACACCUCCUCAGCAGGACAUCAGAGCAGAUCAGAAGUUCUCAACCCUGGAUCUACUAAGGAGUCUGAAACUAUGAGAAGUCAUACACAGAAGGCUCUACACGUCAGCUCUAUUUGUAAUAGCGACAAACUAGAAAUAACCCAGAAGGAGCUGUGGCACAUCCUCAUGAUAGAGUACCAGGCACCCGGGGGAGGGAGUGAGCCUCUCUACAUUGCAGGAGGAAGCAAACUCCAGGAGUUAGUGAAAAAAGCUAAAAAUAUUGGGGGCGGCACGUGGCCGCCUCAAUCAGUACAGCAUGUGACUCUUGAUCUUGGAGUUCUGAGCUCAAGCCCUCCGCUGGGCAUAGAGCUUAUCUAAAGAGAAAACAGGGUAAAAGUGUGGUCCUCUACGUUAAUUUAAGAAAGGAGAGGACAGUAUGUUUUCCAGUGAGAAACUCCACAGGAUGCCUGUCUUCAUUUCUUCAUUUGAAAAAGUAAAAAGGAAAUCGCUUAAUAAAAAGGAGAGCAGGAACUUACAGAUUAAAAGAAUUUAGGAGCGUGCAGACAGCCUCUCCUUUGCUGUCCUGCCCACUGCUCCCUUGUGGUGUAUUCAAUAAACUAUCCCCUUACGAAUGAAUGAAUGAAUGAAUGAAUGAAGUCAAUGGUAAAGAAAUAUAUCAAACAGGGAGAAUCAGAUUUUGAAAAAUUAUUUGAGGAAUCAUUUGAAGAAUUACUAUUACAGAGAGUUUAUUUACUUAUUUUUAUUUUUUUUUUUGGUGUGAUAGGAUAUUGUGGUUAUGUUUUAAAACCACAAUAUCUCUUGGGACUCCUGGGCGGCUCAGUGGUUG